UUUGUCAAAAACAAAAUCGGUUGCCUAUAAAAGGCAGCGGCGGUACCAUUGGAAUGCAUCAGUGAGCAUUUUGCAUUCCUGUCAUCAACAAGUAUACCACACAAAUCAGCGAUACAACGCAUAACACUAUAAUGGCUUUCAGUAUGUUUCAAAUCCGGAAAUGGACCAUUGUCGCCGCCGCGUUGUUCAUCGUUUACGUGUUGCCGACUACGGAAGCUACUGCAAUGAGGAAAAACGUUUAUGGUGGUGGAUGUAACGGUUAUGGUAACGGUUUUGGUAACGGUGCUUGUGGUAACGGCUAUGGAAGUUACGGAGGAUGUUACUGAUAAUGUAGCAGUCAAAGAUGCACAAAUGCACUCGUUGUAUUUGAUAUGCCUUUAUUUAUUUGAACUAAUUUGUAUAUUGAAAUAAUAACAAUAUAAAUAAUUAGUUUUAUAACACA